AGCUAGAGAUCGGGAAUUCCAUUUACAUUCUUAAUCACUACAUAGCAGGUGUGAUUCUGUUUGGGGAAAAACCUCAGCUUGCCCGGCAAAAAUUGUCAAAGAUUAACUUGAACAAUUACCAGGGAAUUGUUUCUUUUGUGAACAUUGACAAUGUCCAUUGGAAGUUUCUGUUCAUAUAUGCGGUCAACCACACAGUGUACCUGAUAGACCCAUCAAAAAGU